rnacentral:rRNA from 1 species
AUGAACGCUGGCGGCGUGCCUAAUACAUGCACGUCGAGCGAACAGAUGAGGAGCUUGCUCCUCUGACGUUAGCGGCGGACGGGUGAGUAACACGUGGAUAACCUACCUAUAAGACUGGGAUAACUUCGGGAAACCGGAGCUAAUACCGGAUAAUAUAUUGAACCGCAUGGUUCAAUAGUGAAAGACGGUUUUGCUGUCACUUAUAGAUGGAUCCGCGCCGCAUUAGCUAGUUGGUAAGGUAACGGCUUACCAAGGCAACGAUGCGUAGCCGACCUGAGAGGGUGAUCGGCCACACUGGAACUGAGACACGGUCCAGACUCCUACGGGAGGCAGCAGUAGGGAAUCUUCCGCAAUGGGCGAAAGCCUGACGGAGCAACGCCGCGUGAGUGAUGAAGGUCUUCGGAUCGUAAAACUCUGUUAUUAGGGAAGAACAAAUGUGUAAGUAACUAUGCACGUCUUGACGGUACCUAAUCAGAAAGCCACGGCUAACUACGU